UCCAGGUUACUCCUAUAUGCUGCCUGUAUGUCUCAUACUGUGGACCCCAGGAGGCUGACCUUGGCAGGCCAUAUCCAAGGUUCUUCUGAGGCUGCCCAGUGGAAAAGCAUGAGCAAGAAUCUAUGGGCUCCAAACAAAGUGCUACAGUUUCAAUAAAGCCUGGGCUCUUCCUCGGGGGAAACAUGGGCACUCUGCCUCAUCAACAACAGCUGACCCAUAGCGUCCUAUUGCAUCCAGAAGGGCAGAGUAACUGGGGCCCUGGUUGCAAGGACCCUCUGCCACUAACUGACUUUUACAUCUAGAACCUCUCCACCCUUCGCCUCUGCUGGACAUAGAAGACUCAUGCUCUACCUGGAGCCAAUGCCCUCGGUGAACACCAAUAAAUACAGGGAGAUGCUAACGAACGC